rnacentral:rRNA from 1 species
AAUGGACGCAAGUUUGAUGGAGCAACGCCGCGUGAGUGAAGAAGGGUUUCGGCUCGUAAAGCUCUGUUGUUAAAGAAGAACGUGGGUAAGAGUAACUGUUUACCCAGUGACGGCAUUUAACCAGAAAGCCACGGCUAACUACGUGCCAGCAGCCGCGGUAAUACGUAGGUGGCAAGCGUUAUCCGGAUUUAUUGGGCGUAAAGCGAGCGCAGGCGGUCUUUUAAGUCUAAUGUGAAAGCCUUCGGCUCAACCGAAGAAGUGCAUUGGAAACUGGGAGACUUGAGUGCAGAAGAGGACAGUGGAACUCCAUGUGUAGCGGUGAAAUGCGUAGAUAUAUGGAAGAACACCAGUGGCGAAGGCGGCUGUCUGGUCUGCAACUGACGCUGAGGCUCGAAAGCAUGGGUAGCGAACAGGAUUAGAUACCCUGGUAGUCCAUGCCGUAAACGAUGAUUACUAAGUGUUGGAGGGUUUCCGCCCUUCAGUGCUGCAGCUAACGCAUUAAGUAAUCCGCCUGGGGAGUACGACCGCAAGGUUGAAACUCAAAAGAAUUGACGGGGGCCCGCACAAGCGGUGGAGCAUGUGGUUUAAUUCGAAGCUACGCGAAGAACCUUACCAGGUCUUGACAUCUUCUGACAGUCUAAGAGAUUAGAGGUUCCCUUCGGGGACAGAAUGACAGGUGGUGCAUGGUUGUCGUCAGCUCGUGUCGUGAGAUGUUGGGUUAAGUCCCGCAACGAGCGCAACCCUUAUUACUAGUUGCCAGCAUUAAGUUGGGCACUCUAGUGAGACUGCCGGUGACAAACCGGAGGAAGGUGGGGACGACGUCAAAUCAUCAUGCCCCUUAUGACCUGGGCUACACACGUGCUACAAUGGAUGGUACAACGAGUCGCGAGACCGCGAGGUUAAGCUAAUCUCUUAAAACCAUUCUCAGUUCGGACUGUAGGCUGCAACUCGCCUACACGAAGUCGGAAUCGCUAGUAAUCGCGGAUCAGCAUGCCGCGGUGAAUACGUUCCCGGGCCUUGUACACACCGCCCGUCACACCAUGAGAGUUUGUAACACCCAAAGCCGGUGGGGUAA